CCUGAAGUUUCCCAACCACUGUUGUUUCAUACAACACAUUGAGGAUUCAAUUUGUUCAAACAAACAAGCUUUGGCUCACAAAGGCCUUGAAGAAGCAGAAUCAUUCAGAACAAGUUUAGAUGCAAUUGUUGACCUUCAAUUUCGAACCUGAAAAAUUCAGUUGCUGGUUGCGAAAAAAAACGUGAUAAAUCACAUGGGUCCACACAAAAAUGGUCAGCUUGUUAGCUUAGACUCUUGUGUGUGAGUUUCCAUAAAAAUAACGAGGAAGACUGAGGAGAUGGGAAUGGUUUCAUGCUUGUUUUCACAAGGAGAAUCUCUGGUAUACAUUUGAUUUCGACCAUAUUUGUUGCAUGAUUUCACAUCUGUGCAAGGCCUGUUUUCAUGGAUGUGGCGUAGCGAAAGUCCAGUGGUGCGGAGAGAUGUUCACAACUUUGUUUUUGGAGGCAGAUUGGCAGUAAACUUGACACACCGAACACAGAUUUCUCGAUAAAUUGUUCGGAUUUAUCAAGAGAUAGCGCCUCACACGUGCUGCUUCUGUUUUACUUGUAAUUUUGUGAAGCUUGUAACUUAAACCUUCGCUGCCCAAUAAACUAUUCGUUUAGUUGUGUGAAGACUGUGACAUGUUUGUGGGAACUGUAGUACUUUGGUGGUCAUGUGCCAUUUUGCACACUGGGUGUCCUAGGGUUUGUGACCAUGAUUCUCUUGAAUGAAUGCAUUUCUUGGUUUAGAGACUGCGCCUGGUUCUUCUCAUUGUCAAGUGUUGUUGUUGCUGUUGAUGGUAGAAUUUCGAAUAGUCUGCUUGACCAAAUCAGUGCGGAUGAUGAAGACGACAGUCAAAGCCGCGUAUGUGAUGACGGCAGUCAUGAGCCUAGGCCUCAGGCCAAACAAGGCAAGCUUGGAGACGAAGGCAAGCAGGAAAAUGACUGGGAAGUUGACGAGUGUCAUGCACGCGCCACUUCAGGGACAUGCACCGCCUCGUCGGAUUUCACACCACACGGUUUGUACAAAGUUUCCCAGCUCGCAUGUUCCCAUGAUAGGAAGUAUAUGCCCAGCCUUCAUGCUGGAUUUGCUGAGUCGUGGGUUCCUUCGAGGACUUCUUCAUGAAUCUUUCAUGAUAUUUUAGUCCUUGUCUAUGAAAUUCUCCUUGAUGGUGAAACUUCUCGGAUCCUCAGGGCGCAAAGCCCAAGCUGCUCCCAUGAAUCUUAACAUUUUCACUCUUGUUAGACGAGCUUUGAUUGACGAUGCCGCCGCAUCUGUUGCUUGGAACUUUCAGAGAGGUAAUCUGCAUGAAAUUUCACAUGCAGUUAAUCAGUUGAAGCUUUAAAAGAUUUGAAGUCCUUCCGUAUUUAUGGUUUGAAAGAAUCCUCUAGGAUGCAUGAUUCUUUCGUACUUGCAUAGCGUAAUAAAUCACCUGACUUGCUAAACCGGAUAAGGAUUCAGCAACAAUGAUUAGAAAAUGGCGGAGAUUGAUUCAAGCACAAUUUUCUUGCAGAGUAACAGAUAGUAACGUGUGCAUGUUUCACUGUCGAGCGUUUCAAGCCAUGUCGACGACCCGUUCAAUAGACUUCUUAGGUUAUUAUUGGGAAUACCAUGCCUGUCUGCUCUGUUCUAUUUACUGGAAAAAACAUUGGGAACGUUACGAUGGUCAAUGUUGUAGGUUUCCACUUAACUUGUAGUUAACAACGCCAGUGAUAAUUUUGUUUCUAUUGCAUCAAUACACGUCGUGCAUGUGGAAAUUGAGAUAAUUGAAGUCGGUAGGUUUUCUAUAUCUGUUGCUCAUGGGGCUUAAUUGCAGCAUCUUUCAGUCUCCUCAAACUAUUCUGCGCUUAGAAUUUAAUUCCUCGCCCAACUUCUUCGCUUCAACGUGGAAAAUGCAAAUCAAAACCAGAGGACGUAUGGUUCGCGUUUUCGUUUUUCCACAUGAUUUCUUGGUUUAGGGCUUGAAAUAGCUUCCAAAACGUUACAAUUAAAACAAAUUAACUUGACCUAAAUGUCCAAGCGACGUUACCUUCAAGUGUGCAGGAAUCCAAAGAAGUUAUAAGAGCAUGAUGAUUGUGACAAAUCAUGAAAAUCUUAUCAAGUUAGCAUGAUCGAAAUACAUGUAAGGUAGCUGCGUUAGCCAGCAUUUUAAAUUGGGAAGGUUCAACCUCAAACAUUUAUUGAAAGGGUGAAGAGAAACACGGGAACGCAAACUUUGAAGAGCGAAGUCGUUACUACAGAGCUGCUGUGACUUAAGUUGCAUACUCUGGAACGUCUGAUUCAAACCAUUGAAGUGGACCUUAACAUCAGAACAGAAGCCUUUCUCUACGUGAACAUACCAACCCGUACCCGUUGGCCAAAUUCUUUGCAGAAUCUGGUGGAAAACUUCAGCACAUGAACAAACCUUUCCAUUAUGUGUUCAAGCUUAAGAGCAGCUUCAAUCACGAACGCAAUCUUUCGACAGGGUGACGUUCCGACAGUUCAGCUUAUUGCAUCAGUGGAGAGAGAGUAUCUGGUUCAAAACCCUAAAUUUAUCUGUGGGAUUUUCUAAGCUUUGAGCUCACCAGAACCGACUGUCAGGCUGGAUCUGGUUGGCGAUCAGGCACAUUGUGACGUCCCCAUCCCUGACAAAACGAAUUUGGUGUCUGUCUUAUGCAGUUGUCUUAAUUGCUCGCAGGAGCAGAAGGAUGUACCAACAAAGUGUAAGCCAGAACUGUUGCCUCGUGACAUGGAAAGGGGUGUCCUUCUCCGACUCUCCUGGAAGGCAAGCCCCUCACGCACACUGUGAUUGCUCUUCAUUGUCCCCAUUUCAGAACAAAAGUGAGGUACAUACAGCUCCAGAAUGAUUGACAAGUAUUCCAUUCCUGCGUUCUUAGUCAGAAACUCUGCUCACCUUAAACUGGACCCACAUUCUUGUGCCCAUGAAAGAGGCUUCCAGGAUCGCCACAAAACAAGGGGUUCCACAAGAUCAGGGAUAGGUAGAAAUAUAUUGCAGAAUUGAGAGACCACAUAGAGAUGAAUGCAAGUGCAUCUAGCAUUAAAAGGAUGUAUCUUAGUCGGAGAAUAGCAAGAAGAUAGACUUGAUUUUAUUGGAGAAUAUAAAAAGAGGUAACAAUGGUAGGUUGGAAUUGUGCAAGGUUUACAAUCUUUUUAGGGCUUGUAAUAUAGCAAGUGGAAUAUGUCAAUUACCAAUCAUUGUGAAUGUUGUUUUGGUGGAGAUAAAAGUAGAAAGGUAAUUUGGAAUUAUUGUCUAAGGACAAUACUUUGUUUAUUUUA